rnacentral:tRNA from 1 species
GCGCGGGUGGCACAGCGGCUACUGCGCUUCCCUGCAGAGGAAGUUUCCGUGGGUUCGAGUCCCACCCCGCGCU